rnacentral:rRNA from 1 species
UACAGAGGUGGCAAGCGUUGUUCGGAAUUACUGGGCGUAAAGGGCGCGUAGGCGGUACUUCAAGUCAGGCGUGAAAUCCCCCCGGCUCAACCGAGGAAUUGCGCUUCAAACCGGCGUGCUUGAGGAAGAUAGAGGUGGGCGGAACUGAUGGUGGAGCGGUGAAAUGCGUUGAUAUCAUCAGGAACACCGGAGGCGAAGGCGGCCCACUGGGUCUUUUCUGACGCUGAGGGACGAAAGCUAGGGGAGCAAACGGG